AGGGUUUGAUUCUGGCUCAGGAUGAACGCUAGCUACAGGCUUAACACAUGCAAGUCGAGGGGCAGCAUGAUUGAAGCUUGCUUCAAUUGAUGGCGACCGGCGCACGGGUGAGUAACACGUAUCCAACCUGCCGUCUACUCUUGGACAGCCUUCUGAAAGGAAGAUUAAUACAAGAUGGCAUCAUGAGUCCGCAUGUUCACAUGAUUAAAGGUAUUCCGGUAGACGAUGGGGAUGCGUUCCAUUAGAUAGUAGGCGGGGUAACGGCCCACCUAGUCUUCGAUGGAUAGGGGUUCUGAGAGGAAGGUCCCCCACAUUGGAACUGAGACACGGUCCAA
rnacentral:rRNA from 1 species